AUACGUAGGGGGCGAGCGUUGUCCGGAAUGAUUGGGCGUAAAGGGCGCGUAGGCGGCCCGGUAAGUCUGGAGUGAAAGUCCUGUUUUUAAGAUGGGAAUUGCUUUGGAUACUGUCGGGCUUGAGUGCAGGAGAGGUAAGUGGAAUUCCCAGUGUAGCGGUGAAAUGAGUAGAGAUUGGGAGGAACACCAGUGGCGAAGGCGACUUACUGGACUGUAACUGACGCUGAGGCGCGAAAGUGUGGGGAGCAAACAGGAUUAGAUACCCUGGUAGUCCACACUGUAAACGAUGAAUGCUAGGUGUAGGGGGUAUCGACCCCUUCUGUGCCGCAGUCAACACAAUAAGCAUUCCGCCUGGGGAGUACGGCCGCAAGGUUGAAACUCAAAGGAAUUGACGGGG
rnacentral:rRNA from 1 species